CAAACCUCAAGCUCACGCUUGGUGUUGGGCGUCGUCCGCUAGGACGUGCCCGAAACCCGUAGGCAGUGGUGCCCGCCUCCCAGCGUAGUCAAGUUACCCGCUUCGGAGCGCGCGGCGCCGCCCGCCGGACGAACAACCCACUAUAUUUCUAUG
rnacentral:misc_RNA from 1 species